UUGGGAUCUUUAAUGAAGACAGGAAAAUGGUUUAUCAUUAGCUUAUCAGUUCCUAUAUGGAAAUGGAAGAUUUUUAUAGUUCUGGAAAAGUCUGCUCCUUCUCUGUGCAAUGACAUCUUGUUUACACCAUCAUUUGCUGGGCCGACUCUGCCCUCAUAAUUUCCACCAAAGUAGACUUCAGCCCCGAUUCUGCAAAAUAUCACAUCUUCGAGAUUGCUACAUUUAAGUAAAUUCCUGAUACAUUAUCCUGCUUUAUCCCAGGCUCUUAAAAUGCUUUUGAAAGGAAGCUGCUCGGACCUGUGGAAAUAGGCGGCUCUGAUAUUUUCUUUUGGAAGAUAAGUGGCAGAAAUGUUGAGGUUGUGACUUCAUUUCUUGCCUGAGUUCCCAGGACCCAGCCUCCCCACCUGCCACCUCUACCUCAUCUACCGGGCAAUAAUCCCCUCUGAUCACAGCCCAGGGCUGGAAGGAAAGGCCAGGGUGGAAGGGGAAGCUGCUCCAGAAACCUCCACCGCCCUGUGUAAUUAUAGCACAAACGCAGCCUGUCCAGUGACUGCUGCCCAGCACGUGACUCUGGGCCUGGCACAGGAUGACGUUCCCGGAGGGUGUCUGAGUCACAGGCGAGGGAGAAAAACAGGGACUUGUUUUCCUCCUACAUCUCAAGGCUGCUUUCCAACUUGACCGUGGCCACAAAAGCACAGACCCCACGGCUUCUUGGCAAUUAAAUGGUUUUCACACUUCUAUUUUUAAAAGGCUUGGAAACGAGGAACGUAGGGGAUCAGGGCGGUUGGGUAAACGAAUGUCUUUCCAAAGUUCUGCUAGCCAGAGGCCCUGUCCUGGCAGGGGUCCCAAAGCAACUGUGAAACCAAGAUGCCACGACAGGGCCCGGUCUGCAAGCCUGUUCCUCAGAUGGGAAAAACAGAAACAUCCCAGUCCCUCAGUCUGUCCUAUGUGACGACAAAGAGUUCGUGUCCCCAAGUGGUCCAGAUGAUUGUCCCCUGCUCUGCACGGGAAUGUAAAGCUUUCACAUUUGGGAUUCUAUUGCACGGGUCCCGGGAAGCCGACUCAGAUGGAGGCAAUGAGAAGGCACCUCCGUCCUCGCUUUCACAGAAGGAGAGUCAAAGCCCAGAGGAAGUGGCAGAGGAGGAACUGAAACAAGGUAGGUCUGAUUCCAGAGCCCCAACUCUCCCUCGUACAGGCAUGCUCACCCGGGCACUCAUACACACCCACAUGCACACACUCACACACUCACAAACAUACACGCAUCUAGACCGUGGGUCCCAGCUCCAAGGAUUCCAGUGAUUGACCCAUGUGCUGACAUUUUGCUUUUCUUCGUCCAUAGGUAUGUUCUGAGCACCUGCUCUGCAUCCUGCAUGCUCCUCUCUGGGCCCGGCGACCCAGCACACCAGAAGAGACCAUAUACAUGUCAGGUGUGAUAGGUGAAAAGAAAAAUCAAGAGGGAGUGCAGGUGAGUGGGAGCUGUGUUAGAGAGAAGGUGACAUUUCAGCGGGAACCUGAAUGAAAUCAGGGAGGAGCCUGAGGACACUGAGGGGAAGAGCAUGCUAGGGAGCUGGAACAGCAAGUGCAAAUGUCCUGAGGUAGGUGCGUGCCUCUCGAGUUCAAAGACAGCAUGAGGCCAGCAUGCUGGGGCAGAGUGAGUGAGAGGAGGGUGACCAAAGGCAAGGUCAGGGAACCUCAGCAUCAGGAUGAGGACCUGGAUGGAUUCAGAGUCACAUAGUGUGCUCCGUAAAUGGCAGUCAUGGUUCUCACUGUCAUUACUAGUGUUCCAGGAGACCACAGGUUUCCUGGAAACUUGGCAGCUGUCACCAUUCACAGGAUCUUCCAAGAUGAGGAGGUGCUUGUGGUCUCCAGGCUCAGUGCAAGAGAAAUGGGACAGCCUGCCACCGGGCAGCCUCACACUGUCUUGUGCUCAGCAGUUUGUCUGUAAGAGAAACCCUACUGAGAGGCAUGUGGACUGAGUGGUCUCCGGGGGUGGAAGUUUGGGACUAUCAGAGAGGCAGGAGGCCCAGGUGACCCCAGGACGCAGCAGCUCCUUAUGAUCAGGGAGCCCAGGACCCAGCGGCUUGCUGAGGUUCUGCUCUAGAGGCCUCUCCUGUCUGCCCUCCACCCUGGGUUAUCAUGCCCCUCCCCUACUCAAGGACCCACAGUGGCUCCCUAUUGCCUUUUGCUUUGUUCUCCAGCUGACUCUUUGCCAUGGCGAUCACUCAUGCCCCUCAGGUCUCCCUGUCCAGUGGUUAUUUGCUAAAAAAUCUUGGCGAAGACUGCUGGAGGAAAUUACUUA
rnacentral:lncRNA from 1 species